UCCUAGGUAUCUGAUGUCCUGCCCUUGGC
rnacentral:piRNA from 1 species